CGCGUAGGCGGACCUUCAAGUCGGAUGUGAAAACUUACAGCUUAACUGUAAGCCUGCAUUCGAUACUGGAGGUCUUGAGUACAGUAGAGGAAAGCGGAAUUCCAGGUGUAGCGGUGAAAUGCGUAGAUAUCUGGAAGAACACCGGUAGCGAAGGCGGCUUUCUGGGCUGAUACUGACGCUGAAGCGCGAAGGCUUGGGUAGCAAACA
rnacentral:rRNA from 1 species